rnacentral:rRNA from 1 species
AUUGAACGCUGGCGGCAGGCCUAACACAUGCAAGUCGAGCGGAGCGGCGGACGGGUGAGUCAUGCCUAGGAAUAUGCCUGGUAGUGGGGGAUAACGUCCGAAAACGGGCGCUAAUACCGCAUACUAUCAGAUGAGCCUAGGUCGGAUUGUCUAGUUGGUGGGGUAAAGGCCUACCAAGGCGACGAUCCGUACCUGGUCUGAGCGGAUGAUCAGUCGCCCUGGAGUUGAGACACGGUCCAGACUCCUACGGGAGGCAGCAGUGGGGAAUAUUGGACAACGGGCGAAAGCCUGCUCCAUCCAGGCCGCUUGUGUGAAGACGGUCUUCGGUUUGUAAAGCACUUUAAGUUGGGAGGCGUUACCAACAGAAUAAGCACCGGCUAACUUCGUGCCAGCAGCCGCGGUAAUAC